GUUUACUAUUUCAAAAAAUGUUUUAUUCUUGUAGAUGCACUGCCUCUUUUUCUUUUGCAUUGCUCUUCCUUUUGGUGAUGUUUCGCACGGGUAGUCGCUAACAAUUAAAAAAGGGAUCAGACGAUUGUGUAAGGAACAAACCUCUUGAGAUAAAGUCUCAAAAAGGGGUGUUUCAUUGACGAUGAUUUACAAUUGAAAAUAAACAGAAUACCUCCAAAGAGCGCAAGCACACGAGUACUAAAAGAAGUGUUUAAGUUUAAACUAAGAAAUCGAAAUUACAUAUUCUUUAUUUGAGAGUGUUUGAUUCGGGGUCCUUUUCUCUAUGUCUUCUCUUCCUUUUAUAUUCCCUUGAUUAGUUCUUCGUGGCAAACCACUUGAAAACUGCUUGGUUGCUGUAUAACUACCCACUCUCUUUAUGGUGGCUAAUUUGUCGUGGAACUGCCAUCUCUAACUGUUGUCAUUACUUUUUGUCGUUCAACCGCCUUCAACUGGGUUCCUUGAAUCAUGGAAUGUGAUAAGAUCACUUAAUAACUGCUUCAACAACUGCUAUUCUGGAUAACCAUAAUGUUUUAUGCUUGCUAAGAUCCUGGACGAUUCGAAGGUUUGGGCAAGAAUGGGGUCAUCACUCUGGGGGUCAUCGCUCUGGGCAACCGUAAAGUACUCCAUUCGCUCAGAUUCUGGGCGUCUUGCAAGCUUGAACGAUGAUAUUAUCGUGUUCGUGGGCUUCCAUUGCAUUCCUCAAUAAUCCUGUUUGGAUCUUUAUCCUGGACUCCCCAAUUGGGUUUCACUCUUUGGGCUAUUUGAUUUGGGCUGCAUUUUUAGUGUGUCAACAAUUACCCCCCAAUAUGGCAGAAUUAAUACUAAUUAUUAAUAUUUGCCAUAUUCACUUUGUUUUUUUUCCAGCAAUAUUUGAAAUUUUCAAGAAUUUCAAUCAUUAUUUUCUUCUACAGCCUGAAAAGGUGCAACGUUACAAACCCUUACAAACCCAAAAGACACGCCAUUUCAUCGCACCACUAAACCACGUCUCUAUAUUUCGUGCCUCUUCCUCGCUAUUUUACUGUUCAUCUUCUUGCUUCUCUGCUACGUUUCUCAGGCAAACCUUUUCAAAAUUGUACUUUGUUUCCAAUGGCGACUUCACAAACUCAAUCUAAUGAUUCUUUUAGUUUCGAAGAUUUCCAAAAAAAUUCUUACUAGGCCAUAUGUAAAUCCAAAC
rnacentral:lncRNA from 1 species